GAUGAACGCUGGCGGCGUGCCUAAUACAUGCAAGUCGAGCGAACAGAUAAGGAGCUUGCUCCUUUGAAGUUAGCGGCGGACGGGUGAGUAACACGUGGGUAACCUACCUAUAAGACUGGGAUAACUUCGGGAAACCGGAGCUAAUACCGGAUAACAUUUAGAACCGCAUGGUUCUAAAGUGAAAGAUGGUUUUGCUAUCACUUAUAGAUGGACCCGCGCCGUAUUAGCUAGUUGGUAAGGUAACGGCUUACCAAGGCGACGAUACGUAGCCGACCUGAGAGGGUGAUCGGCCACACUGGAACUGAGACACGGUCCAGACUCCUACGGGAGGCAGCAGUAGGGAAUCUUCCGCAAUGGGCGAAAGCCUGACGGAGCAACGCCGCGUGAGUGAUGAAGGGUUUCGGCUCGUAAAACUCUGUUAUUAGGGAAGAAUAAAAUAUAGAGGAAAUGCUAUAGAGAUGACGGUACCUUACCAGAAAGCCACGGCUAACUACGUGCCAGCCGCCGCAGUAA
rnacentral:rRNA from 1 species